rnacentral:rRNA from 1 species
AGAGACAGCAGCAGCCGCGGUAAAACGUAGGUGGCAAGCGUUGUCCGGAAUUAUUGGGCGUAAAGGGCUCGCAGGCGGUUUCUUAAGUCUGAUGUGAAAGCCCCCGGCUCAACCGGGGAGGGUCAUUGGAAACUGGGAAACUUGAGUGCAGAAGAGGAGAGUGGAAUUCCACGUGUAGCGGUGAAAUGCGUAGAGAUGUGGAGGAACACCAGUGGCGAAGGCGACUCUCUGGUCUGUAACUGACGCUGAGGAGCGAAAGCGUGGGGAGCGAACAGGAUUAGAUACCCCCGUAGUCCUGUCUCUUAUACC